CCUCCUUCGUUUUCCACUGAAGUGCGUGAAUUUCAUACCAAACCCAUACUUCGCAUUCCACCUUUACUGUCAAACCGGGAGAAAUAUUACUGAAAACAAUACAGCACCAAGAUAAAUAUAACGUUAAAGAAAUAAACCUCGUCCAGUUCUAUCGGUAGAGGUGUUUGCCAAUAAAGGGAAUUGUCAGAGAGAAGCGACAGAAGUGUUUGGAGAGAUCUCUCACCCCGUUUUCUACGUUAUCAGAGACUGUGAGGAAUCCAGUGAACCCGGAGAAUCGUGGCUGGAGCCAACUCAGUGCUUCAGCUGACAACAAUACGUACUGUGUUGGAGCUCUGGGAGAUAGUGGGCAGGGAGGGCUUGUGUUCAUUCAAUGGAGACUGAAUGAAUGUGUGUGCAGCAUGGCUUUCACUGCAUUAUUUACAUUCCUGCACCACAUGGAAAUUCUUCGGCAUUAUAUACUGACUAAGAGCUCUGUUUGGUUCGGCAGGGAGAGAGAGAGGAGGCGGGAAA